rnacentral:tRNA from 1 species
GGCGCAUUAGUAAAAUCAUUACAUGGCCUUGUCAAGACCAAAUUACAGACGAAACCUCUGUAUGCCCCU